GACGAACGCUGGCGGCGUGCCUAAUACAUGCAAGUUGAGCGAUGAAGAUUGGUGCUUGCACCAAUUUGAAGAGCAGCGAACGGGUGAGUAACGCGUGGGGAAUCUGCCUUUGAGCGGGGGACAACAUUUGGAAACGAAUGCUAAUACCGCAUAAUAACUUUAAACAUAAGUUUUAAGUUUGAAAGAUGCAAUUGCAUCACUCAAAGAUGAUCCCGCGUUGUAUUAGCUAGUUGGUGAGGUAAAGGCUCACCAAGGCGAUGAUACAUAGCCGACCUGAGAGGGUGAUCGGCCACAUUGGGACUGAGACACGGCCCAAACUCCUACGGGAGGCAGCAGUAGGGAAUCUUCGGCAAUGGACGAAAGUCUGACCGAGGAACGCCGCGUGAGUGAAGAAGGUUUUCGGAUCGUAAAACUCUGUUGGUAGAGAAGAACGUUGGUGAGAGUGGAAAGCUCAUCAAGUGACGGUAACUACCCAGAAAGGGACGGCUAACUACGUG
rnacentral:rRNA from 1 species